UACGUAGGGGGCUAGCGUUGUCCGGAAUCAUUGGGCGUAAAGCGCGUGUAGGCGGUCCGGUAAGUCCGCUGUGAAAGUCGAGGGCUCAACCCUCGAAAGCCGGUGGAUACUGUCGGGCUUGAGUACGGGAGAGGCGAGUGGAAUUCCUGGUGUAGCGGUGAAAUGCGCAGAUAUCAGGAAGAACACCAAUGGCGAAGGCAGCUCUCUGGGACGGUACUGACGCUGAGACGCGAAAGCGUGGGGAGCGAACAGG
rnacentral:rRNA from 1 species